UACGGAGGAUGCAAGCGUUAUCCGGAAUUAUUGGGCGUAAAGCGUCCGCAGGUGGCUAUUCAAGUCUGCUGUCAAAGCACGGGGCUUAACCCCGUAAAGGCAGUGGAAACUGAAAAGCUAGAGUGCAGUAGGGGUAAAGGGAAUUCCCGGUGUAGCGGUGAAAUGCGUAGAGAUCGGGAAGAACAUCGGUGGCGAAAGCGCUUUACUGGACUGCAACUGACACUCAGGGACGAAAGCUAGGGGAGCGAAUGGG
rnacentral:rRNA from 1 species